CCUACGGGAGGCAGCAGUGGGGAAUAUUGGGCAAUGGGCGCAAGCCUGACCCAGCAACGCCGCGUGAAGGAAGAAGGCUUUCGGGUUGUAAACUUCUUUUCUCAGGGACGAAGCAAGUGACGGUACCUGAGGAAUAAGCCACGGCUAACUACGUGCCAGCAGCCGCGGUAAUACGUAGGUGGCAAGCGUUAUCCGGAUUUACUGGGUGUAAAGGGAGUGUAGGCGGGAAAGCAAGUCAGAUGUGAAAACCAUGGGCUCAACCUGUGGCCUGCAUUUGAAACUGUUUUUCUUGAGUACUGGAGAGGCAGACGGAAUUCCUAGUGUAGCGGUGAAAUGCGUAGAUAUUAGGAGGAACACCAGUGGCGAAGGCGGUCUGCUGGACAGCAACUGACGCUGAGGCGCGAAAGCGUGGGGAGCAAACAGGAUUAGAUACCCUAGUAGUC
rnacentral:rRNA from 1 species